CCUACGGGGUGCUGCAGUGGGGAAUAUUGGACAAUGGGCGAAAGCCUGAUCCAGCCAUGCCGCGUGUGUGAAGAAGGCCUUCGGGUUGUAAAGCACUUUCAGUGGGGAAGAAAGCCUUGGGGCUAAUACCCUCGAGGAAGGACAUCACCCACAGAAGAAGCACCGGCUAACUCCGUGCCAGCAGCCGCGGUAAUACGGAGGGUGCGAGCGUUAAUCGGAAUUACUGGGCGUAAAGCGCGCGUAGGCGGUCUGAUAAGCCGGUUGUGAAAGCCCCGGGCUCAACCUGGGAACGGCAUCCGGAACUGUCAGGCUAGAGUGCAGGAGAGGAAGGUAGAAUUCCCGAUGUAGCGGUGAAAUGCGUAGAGAUCGGGAGGAAUACCAGUGGCGAAGGCGGCCUUCUGGACUGACACUGACGCUGAGGUGCGAAAGCGUGGGUAGCAAACAGGAUUAGAUACCCAGUAGC
rnacentral:rRNA from 1 species